UGCGUAGGCGGAAUAUUAAGUCAGUGGUGAAAUCCUGCGGCUCAACCUUAGAACUGCCAUUGAUACUGAUAUUCUUGAAUGUAGUUGAGGUAGGCGGAAUGUGUAAUGUAGCGGUGAAAUGCUUAGAUAUUACACAGAACACCGAUUGCGAAGGCAGCUUACUAAACUAUGAUUGACGCUGAGGCACGAAAGCGUGGGGAGCGAACAGGAUUAGAUACCCUGGUAGUCC
rnacentral:rRNA from 1 species